rnacentral:rRNA from 1 species
UACGAAGGGGGCUAGCGUUGCUCGGAAUUACUGGGCAUAAAGGGCGCGUAGGCGGCACUGUUAGUCAGGCGUGAAAGUCCUGGGCUCAACCUGGGAACUGCGCUUGAUACGGCAGAGCUAGAGGAUGGAAGAGGCUCGCGGAAUUCCCAGUGUAGAGGUGAAAUUCGUAGAUAUUGGGAAGAACACCGGUGGCGAAGGCGGCCUCCUGGACGGUGACUGACGCUGAGACGCGAAAGCGUGGGGAGCAAACAGG